rnacentral:rRNA from 1 species
GACGAACGCUGGUGGCGUGCUUAACACAUGCAAGUCGAACGGGAUUUAGUAAACAGAAGCCUCGGUGGAAGAUUACUAAUGAGAGUGGCGAACGGGUGAGUAACGCGUGAGCAACCUGCCUAUGACAGUGGGAUAGCCUCGGGAAACCGGGAUUAAUACCGCAUAAAAUCGUAGAAACACAUGUUUUAACGGUCUAAGAUUUAUCGGUCAUAGAUGGGCUCGCGUCUGAUUAGCUAGUUGGUGAGAUAACAGCCCACCAAGGCGACGAUCAGUAGCCGGUCUGAGAGGAUGAACGGCCACAUUGGAACUGAGACACGGUCCAAACUCCUACGGGAGGCAGCAGUGGGGAAUAUUGCACAAUGGGGGAAACCCUGAUGCAGCGACGCCGCGUGAACGAAGAAGGUAUUCGUAUCGUAAAGUUCUGUCCUAUGGGAAGAUAAGGACAGUACCAUAGAAGAAAGCUCCGGCUAAAUACGUG